GAUGAACGCUAGCGGCAGGCUUAAUACAUGCAAGUCGAGGGGCAGCAUGAGUGUAGCAAUACAUUUGAUGGCGACCGGCAAACGGGUGCGGAACACGUACACAACCUUCCUAUAAGUGGGGAAUAGCCCAGAGAAAUUUGGAUUAAUACCCCGUAACAUAAUGAUGUUGCAUCACAUUAUUAUUAUAGCUACGGCGCUUAUUGAUGGGUGUGCGGCUGAUUAGAUAGUUGGCGGGGUAACGGCCCACCAAGUCUACGAUCAGUAGCUGAUGUGAGAGCAUGAUCAGCCACACGGGCACUGAGACACGGGCCCGACUCCUACGGGAGGCAGCAGUAAGGAAUAUUGGUCAAUGGACGCAAGUCUGAACCAGCCAUGCCGCGUGAAGGAUUAAGGUCCUCUGGAUUGUAAACUUCUUUUAUCUGGGACGAAAAAAGGCGAUUCUUCGUCACUUGACGGUACCAGAUGAAUAAGCACCGGCUAACUCCGUGCCAGCAGCCGCCGUAAAAC
rnacentral:rRNA from 1 species